GACGAACGCUGGCGGCGUGCUUAACACAUGCAAGUCGAACGAUGAAGCCCAGCUUGUUGGGGGUGGUAGAGGGGAAAGCGGGUGUGACACACGUGAAUACCCUGCCCAAUUCUUUGGGAAGCCUGCGGGAAACGGGCGCUAAUACCGUAUAUGCGCUCCCCCUAUGGUGGGGGUUGGGGAGAUUUGUGGGUUUUGGGGGGGCUCGCGGCCUAUCAGCUUGUUGGGGGGGUAAUGGCUGACCCAGGCGCUGACGGGCAGCCGGCCUGGGAGGGGGACCGGCCACAUUGGGACUGAGAUACGGCCCAGACUCCUACGGGAGGCAGCAGUGGGGAAUAUUGCACAAUGGGCGCAAGCCUGAUGCAGCGACGCCGCGUGAGGGAUGACGGCCUUCGGGUUGUAAACCGCUUUCGGCAGGGAAGAAGCGAAAGUGACGGUAACGGGUAAAGAAGCACCGGCUAACUACGUG
rnacentral:rRNA from 1 species